rnacentral:rRNA from 1 species
AGUGAACGCUGGCGGUAGGCCUAACACAUGCAAGUCGAACGGCAGCACAGUAAGAGCUUGCUCUUACGGGUGGCGAGUGGCGGACGGGUGAGGAAUACAUCGGAAUCUACUUUUUCGUGGGGGAUAACGUAGGGAAACUUACGCUAAUGCCGCAUACGACCUACGGGUGAAAGCAGGGGAUCUUCGGACCUUGCGCGAUUGAAUGAGCCGAUGUCGGAUUAGCUAGUUGGCGGGGUAAAGGCCCACCAAGGCGACGAUCCGUAGCUGGUCUGAGAGGAUGAUCAGCCACACUGGAACUGAGACACGGUCCAGACUCCUACGGGAGGCAGCAGUGGGGAAUAUUGGACAAUGGGCGCAAGCCUGAUCCAGCCAUACCGCGUGGGUGAAGAAGGCCUUCGGGUUGUAAAGCCCUUUUGUUGGGAAAGAAAAACAGCAGGUUAAUACCCCGCUGUUCUGACGGUACCCAAAGAAUAAGCACCGGCUAACUUCGU